rnacentral:piRNA from 1 species
UCCAGAUGUGGUAACAGCCAGGACGU